CACUCCUGCGGGAGGCAGCAGUGGGGAAUUUUGGACAAUGGGCGAAAGCCUGAUCCAGCAAUGCCGCGUGAGUGAAGAAGGCCUUCGGGUUGUAAAGCUCUUUUGUCAGGGAAGAAACGGUGAAAGCUAAUAUCUUUUGCUAAUGACGGUACCUGAAGAAUAAGCACCGGCUAACUACGUGCCAGCAGCCGCGGUAAUACGUAGGGUGCAAGCGUUAAUCGGAAUUACUGGGCGUAAAGCGUGCGCAGGCGGUUUUGUAAGUCUGAUGUGAAAUCCCCGGGCUCAACCUGGGAAUUGCAUUGGAGACUGCAAUGCUAGAAUCUGGCAGAGGGGGGUAGAAUUCCACGUGUAGCAGUGAAAUGCGUAGAUAUGUGGAGGAACACCGAUGGCGAAGGCAGCCCCCUGGGUCAAGAUUGACGCUCAUGCACGAAAGCGUGGGGAGCAAACAGGAUUAGAAACCCUGGUAGUCCC
rnacentral:rRNA from 1 species